rnacentral:rRNA from 1 species
UACGGGGGGGGCAAGCGUUGUUCGGAAUUAUUGGGCGUAAAGAGCUCGUAGGCGGUUUGUCACGUCGGAUGUGAAAACCCGAGGCUUAACCUCGGGCCUGCAUUCGAUACGGGCUGACUAGAGUUCGGUAGGGGAGACUGGAAUUCCUGGUGUAGCGGUGAAAUGCGCAGAUAUCAGGAAGAACACCGACGGCGAAGGCAGCUCGCUGGGACGGUACUGACGCUGAGGCGCGAAAGCGUGGGGAGCGAACAGG